ensembl:lncRNA
AUGGAAUCAGAGACAUUAGCACUGUCCAGCCUCUCUCAUGAUCUUCAUCCUUCGCUGGCAUUUCAUGAAAUAAAUACAGUGUCCCCAGGUGCUGAUGGAGCUCCAGGAGCUGUCCGUGGUCCUGAAACUAUGCCGGCCGAGGCUCCGGCUGUGACUGGGCGAAUGAGCGCUGUCCGUAGUGCUGAAGAGGUUCCUGGGCCCCGGCAGUGGCGGCAGCGGUGCCUGGGAGGCCGGCAGCCGGAAGACCACCAGAGUCUCGUUCUGCUGCCAGCCUGGAGUGCAGUGGCACGAUCUCAGCUCACUGUAACCUCUGCGUCCCAGGUUCAAGAGAUUCUUCUGACUCAGCCUCCCGAGUAGCUGAGACUACGGGUCUCCCAAAGUGUUAGGAUUACAGGCUCGAGUCACCGCGCCCGACGAGGCUCUGCUCCUUCUGCACGAUGGCCCUGAACUCUUUGAGGUAGAGCCCGGCGCACCAGAUUCUACGGCAGCCUCUCCAAGCCGCCCACCCGCCUGUGCCCUGUGUGCGCGGGUGGCGGGGAACUUGAAGGAGCGGGAUCCUAGCAGCCCAGCGUUUGGCUUGCUUCCUUCUCCCCCGGACCUUACUUCCCUCCCGCCGCUGGCGCCACGUCACCUCCACCCUGGCCUUCACACACCCACCGUGGGGUGGUGCCAAGACACAGGGCAGCCCCUCCUGUCUUGGCGUCCAGAGGAGGCUCUUACUCGCCAGAUAUAGAGAAGAGGGAGAAAGCCAGCAAGACGUUCGGGUGUGGGAGGGAAGCAGUAUAAAUGCAGGGACUGUAGAAGGAUGGUGAAUCUGACUGGCGAGACGCAAAAGUGAGUGAGUGAGUGAGUGAAAAGGAAGCAGCCAUACUGGGAAGGUGCGGUCAGGCCGGUAGGAGAAGAGAAACAGAUAAGAAAGAAAGAGAAGGGGAGAGGCUGGCAGAGAGGAAGCGGAAAAAACGAAGGUGAGGCAAAGGGAGAGACAAACGUGCUGGAGGAGAGAAAGGUGUGAGACCCUGAAGUGGUGAAUUCUUUUCCCUGGCCCAGCCCUUCCAGAGGCCCGGGUCCAUCUAGAGACCUGCUGAGAAGAGGCCACACUGGCCUGUUUUGCUCCCAACAAUUUUAUUCUGCCAGGGAAUUCCCUAAAACUUAAGGAUCCUGGAGCUCUAAGGAACCCUAGAGAACACCUAGUGCCGCUCCUUCCUUCAGCCAUGAGGAAAGUUGGGAUGGGAAGAUUGUUCAUGCUGGUUUUCUCUGGGAAUGAGACCUCGGGACAGUUUUGGCAGUUCCUACUAGGAACACAAACUAAAUAAACCAGGCCCUCUGUGGAAAGGAUAACACUUCUAGAAACUUCUGAAUAGAUCAUUCUAUCUGACAAACAUUUACGAACUGCACACAAUUACCAAACAUUAGGCUAGAUGGCAGUAAGAUAAGGAUUAGAAGGAGAAAAUCUUUGGCUUCUUGAAGUUUAUUAAUAAGUGGGUGAAAUGGGUCAUAAUUUUGAUGUAUGGUGGUGGUGGCAGUGAUAAGGUAGAGAUUUGCCCAGAGUGCUGUAGAAGCCAGCAGCUGGGAGAUCCAGGAAUGCUUCUUGGAGGAAGUAACCCUUGAGGUGGCGAGGGUUUUCCAAGAAGGGAGAGGAUAGCAUGAGCAAAAGCUUAGAGAUAUUAAUAAUUGUGGACUGAUAAUCAUGGCCUUGUGCGCAUGCCUUGUCAUGCCAAUCCGUUAGGGAAAAUGUGAUACAUAUACACCAUGGAAUAUUAUGCAGCUAUCAAAAACACUGAGUUCAUGCCCUUUGUAGGGACAUGGAUGAAUCUGGAGAACAUUAUUCUCAGCAAACUGACACAAGAACAGAAAAUGAAAUACCGCAUGUUCUCACUCAUAGGCGGGUGAUGAAUGGUGAGAACACAUGGACACAGGGAGGGGAGCACUACACACUGGGGUCUAUUGGGGGGAAUAGGGGAGGGACAGUGUGGGGCGGGGGGAGCUGGGUAGGGAUAGCAUGGGGAGAAAUGCCAGAUGAGGGUGAAGGGGAGGAAGGCAGCAAAUCACACUGCCACGUGUGUACCUAUGCAACUAUCUUGCAUGUUCUGCACAUGUACCCCAAAACCUAAAAUGCAAUUAAAAAAAAAAAAAAGAUUUCGAGCCUUUUGUGCUCGCCUCUCCCUCCAGGACCUAUUGCGCGUGCCGCUCCCUACCCCUCCCCUAACCCGCAGUUGCCAGUAGCUACCUUGUGCCAGUACCUUGCCGCGCCAAUCCGUUAAGGUCCCAGGUCCUUAGUGCGUGAGCCUCUCCCUACAGUACCCCUUGCGCGCGCCGCCCCUUCCGUUGCCAUCAGGUGCCUUAUUGCGCGAACCUUGCCGGCUAAACCGUUAACGGCUGGCGUCCUUUGUGCGCCCACCUCUCCUUCCGGUACCUAUCAGGCGCCCCUUCUACCCCGCGCCCUCCCCCGCAGCCACUGCUCGCAGGUGCCUCAAGAGCAUAUUUUGCUCCCCACCCCCCACCCCACUUCGCAUUGCCAGCGGGUGCCUGGCGCGCAUACCUUGUCGCGGGAAUCCCAUAAGGUCACUCUUCUGGUGCGGAUCCGUCACUCUCGCCGGUCUUUGUAUGCGCCUCACUCGCUCAGGUUUGAAUGAUGCGUUUCCUGGCAACAGGAGAAUGCUCCCUUAGCCUUUGGCCGAGUUGGCAGCAGACAGGAGGACGCUCAGAGCCCAGCUCUAGAGAGCUCAAGAAUCCGAAAAUACCCCACUGCUCCCAGGAGCGGUUACCUGGGCACUCCGUACACUUUAUCCCUGUCCCAGUUCCGUCCCAGGGCCGAGGACCCGCCAGUAGGACUCAGUUGCCUUGAGCCUGCUGCCCGCAUCCCUCACUUCACUUUGCUUGUGGGGUCUCUCUGUUGCUCCCGCCCCUGGACGGAGUGGCAAGCCUUCCUACAAGUACCCAGGCACUUGGAAUCAGCCUGGUGUAGAAACAACUUCAAGGAUUUCUGUAUCCUACAAGCCCUGCGCUCCGACCGGGGAUCCUGGUUUCAAUUUGAGGCACAGGUAUGGCAGCAAGCCAGUGC